rnacentral:tRNA from 1 species
GCGCCCAUAGUUCAAUUGGAUAGAACGCCAGGUUGCGGACCUGGAAGUUGCCUGUUCAAAUCGGGCUGGGCGCA